GAUGAACGCUGGCGGCGUGCCUAAUACAUGCAAGUCGAGCGAACGGACGAGAAGCUUGCUUCUCUGAUGUUAGCGGCGGACGGGUGAGUAACACGUGGAUAACCUACCUAUAAGACUGGGAUAACUUCGGGAAACCGGAGCUAAUACCGGAUAAUAUUUUGAACCGCAUGGUUCAAAAGUGAAAGACGGUCUUGCUGUCACUUAUAGAUGGAUCCGCGCUGCAUUAGCUAGUUGGUAAGGUAACGGCUUACCAAGGCAACGAUGCAUAGCCGACCUGAGAGGGUGAACGGCCACACUGGAACUGAGACACGGUCCAGACUCCUACGGGAGGCAGCAGUAGGGAAUCUUCCGCAAUGGGCGAAGGCCUGACGGGGCAACGCCGGGUGAGUGAUGAGGGUCUUCGGAUCGUAAAACUCUGUUAUUAGGGAGGAACAUAUGUGUAAGUAACUGUGCACAUCUUGACGGUACCUAAUCAGAAAGCCACGGCUAACUACGUG
rnacentral:rRNA from 1 species